CCACACAUGCUUUACCAUUACCAAAUCUCUCGAAGAGCACCUUUGCUUCAGAAAGUUGGGCUUCCAAAAUGCUUCUCUUUCUCUCUCUAUCUCUCUCUACUUCGUGGUAAGUCAUCAUCUGUAUCUGUUGAAUCCGUGAAUUGCUUUCAAUUCUUGUAUUUCUUUGUGGAACUUGUUGUUCUUUGUAUAGGAAUCCGUAGAUUCUUCUGAAAAGUUUGUGGACUCGUUUCAGUUUCUCAGUUUUCCUGUUUUUUAUGCUCGAGUUCUUGCCGCCAGUUGAUGAUACUCUGAGUUUCAGUUUAGACUAACUCGUAAUUGUGUGGGUUCGGGAGUUGAGAAUUUGAAUUGGAGGUAUUGCUCGGACUCAUAUCGCCUUUUCUGGAUUUUGUGGUGACCAAAUCAAGAUUUUAGGCAGAUAUCUUAAACCCAUAUUUGAGUUACAUGGAUACGUUACUCAAAACACCUAACAAACUUGGGUUUUUGCACCCACUUCAUGGGUUUCCUGAAAAAAUGAGUAAUUCAAGCUCUUCAAAACUUCAAAACCAGGAGUUUAGAUUUGGUCCCAAGAAGUCUCAUCUGAAACUGGUUAGAAAUGGUUUUGUAAAGGCUAGUACUGGUGCUCUUUUGGAGCUUGUUCCAGAAACUAAGAAGGAGAAUCUUGACUUUGAGCUUCCUAUGUACGACCCAUCAAAGGGUCUUGUGGUGGACUUAGCAGUUGUGGGAGGUGGUCCUGCUGGUCUGGCUGUUGCGCAGCAAGUCUCUGAGGCAGGGCUUUCAGUUUGUGCGAUUGACCCUUCUCCUAAAUUAAUUUGGCCUAAUAAUUAUGGUGUUUGGGUGGAUGAAUUUGAGGCCAUGGACUUGCUUGAUUGUCUUGACACUACCUGGUCUGGUGCUGUUGUGUUCAUUGAUGAUCAAUCAAAGAAAGACCUUGGCAGACCUUAUGGAAGGGUUAAUAGGAAGCAGCUGAAGUCAAAAAUGCUGCAAAAAUGCAUAUUAAAUGGUGUCAAGUUUCACCAAGCUAAAGUUAUCAAGGUUAUCCACGAGGAGUCCAAGUCUUUGUUGAUUUGCAAUGAUGGUGUCACAGUUCAGGCUGCUGUGGUUCUUGAUGCCACUGGCUUUUCGAGAUGCCUCGUUCAGUAUGAUAAGCCCUAUAACCCUGGAUAUCAAGUGGCUUAUGGGAUUUUGGCUGAGGUUGAAGAACACCCGUUUGAUGUGGAUAAAAUGGUUUUUAUGGACUGGAGAGAUUCACAUCUGAGCAAUGAUACAAAGCUUAAAGAGGGAAACAGUAAGAUCCCCACCUUCCUAUAUGCAAUGCCUUUUUCGGCCAACAGGAUAUUUCUUGAAGAAACUUCCCUGGUAGCUCGACCUGGAAUGCCAAUGGAAGAUAUCCAAGAAAGAAUGGUGGCAAGAUUGAGGCACCUGGGCAUAAAAGUGAAAAGCAUUGAGGAAGAUGAGCAUUGUGUCAUUCCGAUGGGUGGGCCCCUUCCAGUGCUCCCCCAAAGAGUUGUUGGAAUUGGUGGUACUGCCGGGAUGGUGCACCCCUCAACUGGGUAUAUGGUAGCAAGGACUCUAGCAGCAGCUCCAAUUGUUGCAAAUUCCAUAGUUCGAUACUUUGGUUCUGAUAGAAACUUUUCGUGCAAUGAAUUGUCUUCAGAAGUUUGGAAAGACUUGUGGCCCAUAGAGAGGAGGAGACAAAGGGAGUUCUUCUGUUUUGGUAUGGAUAUUCUUUUGAAACUCGACUUACCAGAUUAUUUUAGUGACAGCAAUGUCAUCAAGUCAUUAAACGUGAUUGCUUUUACCAACAUAGAAGAACUUCAUCUGCAAUAAUCUUUUUCCUGACAAGAUAGGAAGAUGACCAGAGUCCGUUUCUUAGGAGAGUGGGCUAUAGACAAGAAAGGCUGGGCAUCAUACCUUAGAUUAGGAAAAUUUUAAAAGGAAAAUGAGUAGGUUUAGCAUGUGUCAGAUAAUGAGAGUAUGGGAAAUACGGCUUGCUGCUCGGCUGAUAUAGGCUUGGGAUGCAUGGAGAGAUUUGUGAAUGAGGAUGAAAGCAGUCGUUUUUGUGAAUAAUUUCUCUCUUUCUUCGCAAGAUAGACAUGACUGAAACAUAUAAUUUAUAAUACAUCGAAUAGUCCAUGUACAUGUGGGAAAUCAUUUAUGAUGCACAUU